rnacentral:rRNA from 1 species
UACGUAGGGGGCAAGCGUUGUCCGGAAUUACUGGGCGUAAAGCGUGCGCAGGCGGUGAUGUAAGACCGAUGUGAAAUCCCCGGGCUUAACCUGGGAACUGCAUUGGUGACUGCAUCGCUCGAGUAUGGCAGAGGGGGGUAGAAUUCCACGUGUAGCAGUGAAAUGCGUAGAGAUGUGGAGGAAUACCGAUGGCGAAGGCAGCCCCCUGGGUCAAUACUGACGCUCAUGCACGAAAGCGUGGGGAGCAAACAGG